AACAGAUUUUCACCCUCCUCCCUGUAACAAUCCUUUAUGUACCUGAAACUGUUUUCAUGUCCCCUUCUCAGUCUUCUCUUCUCCAGACUAAACAAACUCAAUUUUUUCAAUCUUCCCUCCUAGG